CCACCUUUUUCAAAGUCUUAUACAAAAGGAAUUUGCCUCCUUUUCCAGUGCUAAGUAUCAGUAGUCCUAUGAUGAUGGAAAAUGACUUCCUGAAAGGGUGAUAGACUUUGAAUGCAGAAUUGUGAUGUUUAGGCUUCUGCUCUUCUGCCUACAAAACUAAAUCAAUGUUUAUUAUAAACUAGUUCCUUUCCUUUGUCCCCAGUUAUCUUCUGUUAUUUUUUUUCCUGAGAUCUGGUAGUUUUCUGCCUGUGAAUUUCUCCCCUUCAAAUCUAUCAGCAAUAAAGACACCACAAUCUAUUCUGUGGAUGCUUCUGCUCAGCACUGAGGAACUUCUUACUGACAUACUGAUGUUUAUACACAUUAUACUGACAGGAACCCUGUCUCCAAACAGGUGGCUCUGCCAUCUCUACUUCUGAGGAUACCCAGAAUGUGAAGUUAAAGUCUGUCCCUAAUGUAAUACAAGAAACAUACACACGCUCCAUUAAGAACACACAUGGAUUUUCUCUAUUUCUCUCCUUGAGAAAAAACAAUCCGCACUUCUGUUUUUUUCACAGCCUGAGUCAUUUGUGUCAACACUCCAACUGGAAACAACACUGACCUUUCACAAUCAGGCAACAUUCAGUAGCUGAGCUCCGGGAGGUCCAACUAGCAGUGGUGACCCAGGUGGCCCAGGAAGCCCAACAUCACCCUGCGGAAACCAGAGGAACAACAGAAAGAUGUUCUGUUCCAUGCAGCAUUUCAGUGAGAUAUGGAAUGUUUUUCUGUUGCACUACAGCAGACUGAACUCUGGAUCAAAAUCUGCCUGUUUCACAAAGGAGCCUCAGGGAAGGGGAAUAAGGAGAAAGUACUAGCAGUGUUCCCUUGUGACCGUGGACUGCCAGGAUGACAUGUUUUCACAGGUAUGGGAAAAAGCAACAUAUGCUAUAUGGUCUAAUUCUAACUAAGGCAAAAAUCUCUAUUUACUGUAUGCCUCAAAAAUUACAUGUAGGUUUUGAUUCACAUUAAGGCAAUUUCUAAAAUUGGCGUGCAUAUCCUGAAAAUGAAAGACUGAGAAACUUUGGUAAUCUUACAGGCAUGCCUGGUUGGCCUGGGUAUCCAGGUGGGCCUGUUGUACCUGUCGAUCCUCUAGGUCCCUGAAAAAAGACAACAAAUGGCCUGUUUCUGAAGAUAUCAAGAGAUUACAAUUUUUCUUUUUUCACACAAAACUAGUUUAUCUGAAUGCCUGCACUACUUGAACUCAAUUUACUGGUAUUUCACUUAUAUAUGCCUCUCUUAUAGCUUAUUACGAUACCAGAAAACUCACAGUCAUUACAGCAGCUCGGUUUCUGGAUAACUGUGUACUGAUAUUGUGUUUUAUGAAUGAAUUGAAAGAAUACUUUGUUAGUAACUGUACUACAGUAUGGGGACUUUAAGAAUUUCAUCAGCUAGUAUUUUUUUGACCAG
rnacentral:lncRNA from 1 species